rnacentral:rRNA from 1 species
AUGUUCAUGCCAGAGUUCCCAACUGUGAGGGUUUUGCAUCGUCUCUUCUUCUCUUUCGGUGUAUGCAUCGAAGCUUUCAGGCAUUGCCGACCGGUGAUAUGUGUUGACGGUACUUUUCUCACAGGCAAGUACAAGGGUCAGAUCCUGACAGCCAUAGGUCAAGACGGCCAAAAUCAAGUCGUCCCACUGGCAUUUGCUUUUGUGGAGAGUGAGAACAUUGAAAGUUGGACAUGGUUCUUCAGGCAGUUGAAAAUAUCAGUUGUGAAGGAGAAGCCCAAUGUGUGCAUCCUUCAUGACAGGCAUGCAGGUAUACUCAGUGCGAUAAGGACACUGACAAACCCAGGCCCUGAGGAACAAGUUCCAUGGCAGGACUUGCAGAGCCGUUGGUGCAUGCGCCAUCUCAGGGCUAAUUUCUUCUCGCAGUUUAGAAAUAAGAACCUGAUGAAUCUGUUCAAAAAACUCUGCAAGCAGAACCAGUUAUGGAAGUACAAUUUGAUACGCGACAGACUUAAUGUGUGCACGCAGAGACACGUGAGGGACAGGAAAGCUGCAAGAGAUGCAGCGGUGAGGGCACAUGUUGAAGCAGUAGCUGCACAGUUGGCAACAGGAACAGCGGCCGUGGAGGAGGAGGCUGUUGGGCUAUGUGACAUGCCAGGCUUUGACCCACCUGGUACUAGGAGAAGGCUCGGGAGGUCGAUUAAAACCUUCGAGCAGUGGAUAGAGCAUGAGCCUCUGGAGAGGUGGUCUUUGCUACAUGACACACAUGGAGCAAGGUACGGUGUCAUGACAACGAACCUCGCGGAAACAUACAACUUUGUCCUCAGAGGAAACCGGGCAUUGCCACUUACAGCCAUCAUUGAGGGUAUUUUCUAUGGCACCGUCAAGUAUUUCAGAGACAGACGUCAAAUAGCAGAGCAGCAUAUCUUGAACAACCCAAAUAAUCGGUACUGUGAAAGAGUCACGAAGUACAUGGACAACAAGAUGCAAAAAGCUAGGUCACACACUGUAGUCGCCAUUGGUAAUCAAGAAAGAAGGUUUGAGGUCCGCUUAGCCAACAACAAAUUCGGAUGUGCAAAUGAGUUGAGGACGCAUGAGGUGAAAAUUGGCAAUGAAGCCUGGCCAACGUGUGAGUGCACAUGCAAUAAACCGAAAUUGCUUCACCUACCUUGCUCACAUGUACUUGCUCUUGCGGGCAGCUUGGAAUGGACGCAAUAUCGUUUGUGUCUCCAUAUUUUCUGA